UCAAGCGAAUAAGCGCACACGGUGGAUGCCUAGGCGGUCAGAGGCGAUGAAGGACGUGGUAGCCUGCGAAAAGUGUCGGGGAGCUGGCAACAAGCUUUGAUCCGGCAAUAUCCGAAUGGGGAAACCCACUGCUUCGGCAGUAUCUUGCAGUGAAUUCAUAGCUGCUUGAAGCGAACCCGGUGAACUGAAAUAUCUAAGUAACCGGAGGAAAAGAAAUCAACCGAGAUUCCCUGAGUAGUGACGAGCGAACGGGGAACAGCCCUUAAGCUGGAAUGGCUUUAGAAAAACAAUCUGGAAAGAUUGGCCAUAGAAGGUGAUAGCCCUGUAUUUAAAAGGGCCACUCCAGUGAAGACGAGUAGGGCGGGGCACGUGAAACCCUGUCUGAAUAUGGGGGGACCAUCCUCCAAGGCUAAAUACUCCUGACCGACCGAUAGUGAACCAGUACCGUGAGGGAAAGGCGAAAAGAACCCCGGAGAGGGGAGUGAAAUAGAUCCUGAAACCGUGUGCGUACAAGCAGUAGGAGCUCGCAAGAGUGACUGCGUACCUUUUGUAUAAUGGGUCAGCGACUUACUGUUCGUGGCAAGCUUAACCGUAUAGGGGAGGCGAAGGGAAACCGAGUCUGAUAAGGGCGCAUAGUCGCGGGCAGUAGACCCGAAACCGGGUGAUCUAGUCAUGGCCAGGGUGAAGGUGCCGUAACAGGUACUGGAGGCCCGAACCCACGUCUGUUGCAAAAGACGGGGAUGAGCUGUGAUUAGGAGUGAAAAGCUAAUCGAACCCGGAGAUAGCUGGUUCUCCUCGAAAGCUAUUUAGGUAGCGCCUCGGACGAAUACUACUGGGGGUAGAGCACUGUUAUGGCUAGGGGGUCAUCGCGACUUACCAAACCAUUGCAAACUCCGAAUACCAGUACGUACUAUCCGGGAGACACACGGCGGGUGCUAACGUCCGUCGUGAAAAGGGAAACAACCCAGACCCACAGCUAAGGUCCCAAAUUCACUGCUAAGUGGAAAACGAUGUGGAAAGGCAUAGACAGCCAGGAGGUUGGCUUAGAAGCAGCCACCCUUUAAAGAAAGCGUAAUAGCUCACUGGUCGAGUCGGUCUGCGCGGAAGAUUUAACGGGGCUAAGCAGUGAACCGAAGCUUGGGGUGCGUAAAACUUCGGUUUUAUGCGCGGUAGAGGAGCGUUCCGUAAGCCUGCGAAGGUGGAUUGAGAAGUCUGCUGGAGGUAUCGGAAGUGCGAAUGCUGACAUGAGUAACGAUAAUGCGGGUGAAAAGCCCGCACGCCGAAAGCCCAAGGUUUCCUUGCGCAACGUUAAUCGACGCAGGGUUAGUCGGUCCCUAAGGCGAGGGCGAAAGCCGUAGUCGAUGGGAAGCAGGUUAAUAUUCCUGCACCUCGCGUGAGUGCGAUGGAGGGACGGAGAAGGUUAGGUGUACCGGGCGUUGGUUGUCCCGGGGAAAGGCGGUAGGUUUGGAUCUUUGGCAAAUCCGGGAUCCUUUAAGACCGAGCACCGAGACGAGCCUUUAUGGCGAAGUCACUGAUACCACGCUUCCAGGAAAAGCUCCUAAGCUUCAGCUCACGAAGACCGUACCGUAAACCGACACAGGUGGGUAGGAUGAGAAUUCUCAGGCGCUUGAGAGAACUCGGGUGAAGGAACUAGGCAACAUGGCACCGUAACUUCGGGAGAAGGUGCACCCUUUUUGGUGGCUCAUGCGAGCUAUAGCUGAAGAGGGUCGCAGAAACCAGGCCGCUGCGACUGUUUAUCAAAAACACAGCACUCUGCAAACACGAAAGUGGACGUAUAGGGUGUGACGCCUGCCCGGUGCUGGAAGGUUAAUUGAUGGGGUCAGCCGCAAGGCGAAGCUCUUGAUCGAAGCCCCAGUAAACGGCGGCCGUAACUAUAACGGUCCUAAGGUAGCGAAAUUCCUUGUCGGGUAAGUUCCGACCUGCACGAAUGGCGUAACGACAGCGGCGCUGUCUCCACCCGAGACUCAGUGAAAUUGAAAUCGCUGUGAAGAUGCAGCGUUCCCGUGGCAAGACGGAAAGACCCCGUGAACCUUUACUAUAGCUUUACACUGAACGUUGAGUUCGUCUGUGUAGGAUAGGUGGGAGGCUAUGAAACUGUGGCGCUAGCUGCAGUGGAGCCAACCUUGAAAUACCACCCUGUCGUGCUUGACGUUCUAACCUAGAUCCGUUAUCCGGAUCAGGGACCGUGUAUGGUGGGUAGUUUGACUGGGGCGGUCUCCUCCUAAAGAGUAACGGAGGAGCACGAAGGUACGCUCAGCGCGGUCGGACAUCGCGCACUGUGUGCAAAGGCAUAAGCGUGCUUGACUGCAAGAUCGACGGAUCAAGCAGGUACGAAAGUAGGUCUUAGUGAUCCGGUGGUUCUGUAUGGAAGGGCCAUCGCUCAACGGAUAAAAGGUACUCCGGGGAUAACAGGCUGAUACCGCCCAAGAGUUCAUAUCGACGGCGGUGUUUGGCACCUCGAUGUCGGCUCAUCACAUCCUGGGGCUGUAGUCGGUCCCAAGGGUAUGGCUGUUCGCCAUUUAAAGUGGUACGCGAGCUGGGUUCAGAACGUCGUGAGACAGUUCGGUCCCUAUCUGCCAUGGGCGUUGGAAGUUUGAGAGGGGCUGCUCCUAGUACGAGAGGACCGGAGUGGACGAACCUCUGGUGUUCCGGUUGUCACGCCAGUGGCAUUGCCGGGUAGCUAUGUUCGGAAGCGAUAACCGCUGAAAGCAUCUAAGCGGGAAGCGCGCCUCAAGAUGAGACUUCCCGGGGCACAAGCCCCCUAAAGGAACCAUAUAGACUAUGUGGUUGAUAGGUCAGGUGUGUAAGUACAGCAAUGUAUUGAGCUAACUGAUACUAAUGAUCCGUGCGGCUUGACCAU
rnacentral:rRNA from 4 species